GAUGAACGCUAGCUACAGGCUUAACACAUGCAAGUCGAGGGGUAGCAGGGUAGCAAUACCGCUGACGACCGGCGCACGGGUGAGUAACACGUAUCCAACCUUCCCAUAACUCGGGGAUAGCCUUUCGAAAGAAAGAUUAAUACCCGAUAGUACUUUUUCAAGGCAUCUUGAGAAAGUUAAAGAUUUAUUGGUUAUGGAUGGGGAUGCGUUCCAUUAGAUAGUUGGUGAGGUAGCGGCUCACCAAGUCUUCGAUGGAUAGGGGUUCUGAGAGGAAGGUCCCCCACAUUGGUACUGAGACACGGACCAAACUCCUACGGGAGGCAGCAGUGAGGAAUAUUGGUCAAUGGGCGAGAGCCUGAACCAGCCAAGUAGCGUGAAGGAUGAAGGUCCUAUGGAUUGUAAACUUCUUUAUAGUAGAAUAAAGUGACCUACGUGUAGGUUUUUGUAUGUAUACUAUGAAUAAGGAUCGGCUAACUCCGUGCCAGCCGCCGCUGUAA
rnacentral:rRNA from 1 species